UACGAAGGGGGCUAGCGUUGCUCGGAAUCACUGGGCGUAAAGGGUGCGUAGGCGGGUCUUUAAGUCAGGGGUGAAAUCCUGGAGCUCAACUCCAGAACUGCCCUUGAUACUGAGGAGCUUGAGUCCGGGAGAGGUGAGUGGAACUGCGAGUGUAGAGGUGAAAUUCGUAGAUAUUCGCAAGAACACCAGUGGCGAAGGCGGCUCACUGGAUCGGUACUGACGCUGAGGUGCGAAAGCGUGGGGAGCAAACAGG
rnacentral:rRNA from 1 species